CGAGUUGCGGGAGAAAAGAGAGAAGGAUAUCGGAGGUUGGCAAUAUCGUGCGGUUCGUGAUCUGUCGCGCGUUGAGGUCUCCCGACGGCUUGGACGCGGAGCAGGUAUAGAACGCGAAUCGCGUGAAAAUUCAAACAACUAGAGCACACAGAACUAGGUGUCAGAGGUGUGUUUGUGUCGGUUUGUGUGCGUGGAGGGGACAUGUUCUCGGGGCGCGUAGAGUUUCGCACAUUUGGUGACGGCGGCGGCACUUUUCGUGAGGCCGGGACCUGUGUGCACUCUGGGGGUAUAAAAGCUACUACAGGGCUAGGCCGAGCCAUCAGUAAUAGUUUUAGGUUGACGCUCUACGCGCAGAUGUAGAGCGAUUUUUUGACGUCCGGUCGAUUCCGAGGUUCCGUUCUUCCGUCGUGCGUGUCCGCUGUCCGUGUCCUAAUUCCGUGCGUGCACGCGUUCUAAUUUCUGCCGUAAACUAAUUGUGUAUCCGUGCGUGCGUGCGUGUUCUACACGAAAACUUCAACAUGAAGCUUUUCGCUGCAAUCUUGAUUGUAGCUUUAGCAGCGGCACCCAGUUUAGGGAACCCCGCCCCAGACUGUCCACCGGGUGGACACGGAUACGCCUAUCCAGCACCACAAGUACAACUCUCGGUCGGCAAGGCCAUCAACAGCGUCAGCGUGACGCCCGGAUUCUCGUCCUACUCGGUUGAUGGUGCCGUCAAGUACGCCUCAGUUGGACCUUCGUACAGCUCGUACGAAGCAUCGCCAGCAUACGCCGCCUUCGGAACCGGCGCCGAUCUCAAACUGUCCAGCUAUGUCCCGGCGGUGAAGACGGUGUCCGCCACCCCCGGCGUUGUCUACGCCGCGGAAAAAUCGGCCGCAGCCUACGUUACCCCGGCUGUCACCAAGAUCGUCGCGGCGGAACCCGCGUACGUGUCCAAAGAGUACCUGCCCCCAGUGAAGACGGUAGUUUCGGCCGCUCCCGCCGCUUACUCGUCGUACGUGUCCAGCCCUGCGAUCUCUUCGUACUCGGCAGGCCCAGCCGUGUCUUCGUACGUUGCCACCCCGGCUGUCAGCAAGGUCAUCAGCAGCCCUGCCGUCUCGUACGGAUAUGCUGCGCCAGCUGUUGCGUCCUAUGCUUCUCCAGCUAUUGCUACUGUGGCCAAGGUCCCCGCCUACUCGUCCUACGUGUCCGCCCCAGCCGUUGCUAAGGUAGCCGCCGUCCCAGCCUACUCUUCGUACGUUUCUGCACCGGCCGUCAGCAAGGUCGUCAGCGCCCCAGCCAUCUCCUACGGAUAUGCCGCCCCUGUCGCCAAGGUUGCCAGCUAUGCUGCUCCGGCCAGCGUUGCUUACGCUGCUCCAGUUGCCAAGUACGCUACCUACUCGGCUCCAGUCACCAAGGUGGCCAGUUAUGCUUCGCCAGCCAUCCCGGCCUACAGCGCCCAUGCGUACGGUCCAGCCGUCUCAUCCGCCUAUGUUUCGUCGCCGGUAGUGUCCAAGGUCGGAUACGCUGCCCCAGCGUACGCCACCUACUCCGCUGCUCCAGCCAUCUCCAAGGUCGUGGCCAGCCCCGCCUACUCUUCGUACGUGUCAGCUCCAGCUGUUUCGAAGGUUGUGUCUUCCCCAGCCUACUCGUCGUACAUUUCCACGCCGGCCAUUGCUAAGGUAGCUUCCGUGCCAGCCUACUCUUCGUACGUGUCUGCUCCAGCCGUCAGCAAGGUUGUCAGCAGCCCUGCCGUCUCGUACGGAUAUGCCGCUCCAGUCGCCAAGGUCGCCACCUAUGCUGCCCCGGCUUCUUAUGCUGCCUAUGCACCGGCUGCUGUUACCAAGUACGCUAGCGCCCCAGCUUAUGCCAGCUACAGCGCCGGACCAGUUGUGGCCAAGUACGCUACCGGACCUAGCUAUGCUGCUUACAGCGCUGGUCCUGCGAUCACGAAGUACUCUUCCGCCCCAGCUGUCUCUACCGCUUAUGUGUCCGCCCCAACUGUGACCAAGUACGCGAGCGCUCCGGCUUACGCCAGCUACAGCGCCGGACCCGCAAUCACCAAGUACGCUAGUGCCCCGGCUUACGCCAGCUACAGCGCCGGACCUGCUAUCACCAAGUACGCUAGUGCUCCAGCUUAUGCCAGCUACAGCACCGGUCCCGUUGUGACCAAGUACGCUAGCGCCCCAGCUUAUGCCAGUUACAGCGCCGGCCCAGUGGUCGCCAAGUACGCGACCAGCCCCGCUUAUGCCGCCUACAGUGCCGGCCCGGCCAUCGCCAAGUACUCUACCUCGCCAGCUGUGUCCACCGCUUACGUUUCUGCCCCGUCCGUUGCCCAGUACGCAGUUCCAGCCGUCACCAAGUACGCUAGCGGCCCGGCUUACUCCAGCUACAGCGCAGGUCCCGUCGUGACCAAGUACGCUACCGGUCCGAGCUACGCCGCCUACAGCGCCGGCCCUGCCAUCGCUAAGUAUGCCGCUGCCCCAGCUGUCUCCACCUCUUAUGUGUCCGCUCCAGCUGUGACCAAGUACGCCACUGCUCCGGUUGUCUCCACUGCUUACUCUGCCGGACCUGCCGUCACAGCCUACAGCUCCGGAGCCGCCUUUUCUAAGGUCGUUGCCGGACCAGCCUACUCCAGCUACGUGAGCACCCCAGCCGUAUCCAAGGUCGUGUCCACUCCGGCCGUGGCCGCUUACAGCACUGUCCCUGCUUACUCCUCGUACUCGGUCAGCCCAGCUGUGACGAAGUACGCCGCCACUCCGGCUGUUGCCGCUUACACCACCUCCGGAGCUGCCCAUGGCUACUACGCCGCUGGACCAGCACUCGCUUCAGCUCAUUACGGAGGAAUCCGCUACGCCGCGGCUGCUCCCGCCAUCACCACUAGCUACCACGCCGCCCCGGCUGCCACCAUCGUCAAGUCCGCUGUUCCGGCCACCAUCGUGAAGACGGUCGCCGAGAAGCAUCUCGAAUACUACGACGACCAUCCUCGGUACGCCUUCGAGUACGGCGUCAACGAUCCGCUGACCGGCGACAACAAGCACCAGAAGGAGGAACGCGACGGCGAUGUCGUGCGUGGCCAGUACUCGCUGGUGGAACCCGACGGCAACGUGCGCACCGUCGACUACUACGCCGACUGGGCCACCGGAUUCCACGCCACCGUCACCAACAGCCGGGACCAGGUCCACGCGACCAAGGUGCUGGGCAAGCGGGCCGUUGUGAAGGCGUAAAUAGCGCAGAGCAUAGGAAAAAAAAACAAACAAACAAACGCGUACCACCUAUCUUGUUUGAGAGAGCUACGACAGCAAGCAAUUUGUGUAUAAAAUGUUUUGUUAGAGUUGUGUUAGAGUCAAGAGUAACGAACAGCAAGUAUUUGUCUCAUGAAAUGAAAACGCAUGAUUUCAAUGUGAUAAAAGUGUCAUAAAAUGUUAUUUGUAUUUGUCUAAAGAAAAUUUAAACGAAA
rnacentral:misc_RNA from 1 species